rnacentral:miRNA from 1 species
UGGGUCCCGCCUUGCAUCAAC